CCUACGGGAGACAGCAGUGGGGAAUAUUGCACAAUGGGGGAAACCCUGAUGCAGCGACGCAGCGUGAGUGAAGAAGUAAUUAGUUAUGUAAAGCUCUAUCAGCAGGGAAGAAAAUGACGGUACCUGAGUAAUAAGACCCGGCUAACUACGUGCCAGCAGCCGCGGGAAUACGUAGGGGGCAAGCGUUAUCCGGAUUUACUGGGUGUAAAGGGAGCGUAGACGGCAGUGCAAGUCUGGAGGGAAAGGCGGGGGCUCAACCCCCGGACUGCUCUGGAAACUGUACGGCUGGAGUGCAGGUGAGGUAAGUGGAAUUCCUAGUGUAGCGGUGAAAUGCGUAGAUAGUAGGAGGAACACCAGUGGCGAAGGCGGCUUACUGGACUGUAACUGACGUUGAGGCUCGAAAGCGUGGGGAGCAAACAGGAUUAGAUACCCGGGUAGUC
rnacentral:rRNA from 1 species